rnacentral:RNase_P_RNA from 1 species
AUAACCGUUCAGGUAACCGCUGCAUCGCAUGCGAUGUAGAGGAAAGUCCAUGCUCGCACAGGCUGAGAUGCUUGUAGUGUUCGUGCCUAGCGAAGUCAUAAGCUAGGGUAGUCUGGUUCUAAGAACUGGGCUAACGGCAAGGUAAGCACCUACGUUCAUCAUGAAUAGGGUGUGAUGCCUUUGAAAGUGCCACAGUGACGUAGUCCGUUUGGAAACAGACGGAGUGGAACGAGGUAAACCCCUCGAGCGAGAAACCCAAAAAUUGGUAGGGGAACCUUCUUGAAGGAAAUGAACGGAGAGAAGGACGGAAGUUUACUUCUGUAGACAGAUGGUUACCACCGGAGUACGAGGUUCAUCACCGUUUGUAGUACGAAGGAACAGAACAUGGCUUAUCGAACGGGAAUGAGA